rnacentral:rRNA from 1 species
GCCAGACUCCUACGGGAGGCAGCAGUGGGGGAUAUUGCACAAUGGGGGGAACCCUGAUGCAGCGACGCCGCGUGGGUGAAGAAGCGCCUCGGCGCGUAAAGCCCUGUCAGCAGGGAAGAAAAUGACGGUACCUGAAGAAGAAGCCCCGGCUAACUACGUGCCAGCAGCCGCGGUAAUACGUAGGGAGCAAGCGUUGUCCGGAAUUACUGGGCGUAAAGGGCGCGUAGGUGGGCGCUUAAGUCAGGUGUGAAAACUCCGGGCUCAACCUGGAGACUGCACUUGAAACUGGGUGUCUUGAGGGCAGGAGAGGAAAGUGGAAUUCCUAGUGUAGCGGUGAAAUGCGUAGAUAUUAGGAGGAACACCAGUGGCGAAGGCGGCUUACUGGACUGUAACUGACGUUGAGGCUCGAAAGCGUGGGGAGCAAACAGGAUUAGAUACCCUUGUAC